rnacentral:rRNA from 1 species
CUGGCUCAGAUUGAACGCUGGCGGCAUGCCUUACACAUGCAAGUCGAACGGCAGCGCGGGAGCAAUCCUGGCGGCGAGUGGCGAACGGGUGAGUAAUACAUCGGAACGUGCCCAAUCGUGGGGGAUAACGCAGCGAAAGCUGUGCUAAUACCGCAUACGAUCUACGGAUGAAAGCAGGGGAUCGCAAGACCUUGCGCGAAUGGAGCGGCCGAUGGCAGAUUAGGUAGUUGGUGAGGUAAAGGCUCACCAAGCCUUCGAUCUGUAGCUGGUCUGAGAGGACGACCAGCCACACUGGGACUGAGACACGGCCCAGACUCCUACGGGAGGCAGCAGUGGGGAAUUUUGGACAAUGGGCGCAAGCCUGAUCCAGCCAUGCCGCGUGCAGGAUGAAGGCCUUCGGGUUGUAAACUGCUUUUGUACGGAACGAAACGGCCUUUUCUAAUAAAGAAGGCUAAUGACGGUACCGUAAGAAUAAGCACCGGCUAACUACGUGCCAGCAGCCGCGGUAAUACGUAGGGUGCAAGCGUUAAUCGGAAUUACUGGGCGUAAAGCGUGCGCAGGCGGUUAUGUAAGACAGUUGU